rnacentral:miRNA from 1 species
GAGCUUUUAGCCCGGGUUAUAC